GACGAACGCUGGCGGCGUGCUUAACACAUGCAAGUCGAACGGAAAGGCCCUGCUUUUGUGGGGUGCUCGAGUGGCGAACGGGUGAGUAACACGUGAGUAACCUGCCCUUGACUUUGGGAUAACUUCAGGAAACUGGGGCUAAUACCGGAUAGGAGCUCCUGCUGCAUGGUGGGGGUUGGAAAGUUUCGGCGGUUGGGGAUGGACUCGCGGCUUAUCAGCUUGUUGGUGGGGUAGUGGCUUACCAAGGCUUUGACGGGUAGCCGGCCUGAGAGGGUGACCGGCCACAUUGGGACUGAGAUACGGCCCAGACUCCUACGGGAGGCAGCAGUGGGGAAUAUUGCACAAUGGGCGGAAGCCUGAUGCAGCAACGCCGCGUGCGGGAUGACGGCCUUCGGGUUGUAAACCGCUUUCGCCUGUGACGAAGCGUGAGUGACGGUAAUGGGUAAAGAAGCACCGGCUAACUACGUGCCAGCAGCCGCGGUGAUACGUAGGGUGCGAGCGUUGUCCGGAUUUAUUGGGCGUAAAGGGCUCGUAGGUGGUUGAUCGCGUCGGAAGUGUAAUCUUGGGGCUUAACCCUGAGCGUGCUUUCGAUACGGGUUGACUUGAGGAAGGUAGGGGAGAAUGGAAUUCCUGGUGGAGCGGUGGAAUGCGCAGAUAUCAGGAGGAACGCCAGUGGCGAAGGCGGUUCUCUGGGCCUUUCCUGACGCUGAGGAGCGAAAGCGUGGGGAGCGAACAGGCUUAGAUACCCUGGUAGUCCACGCUGUAAACGGUGGGUACUAGGUGUGGGGUCCAUUCCACGGGUUCCGUGCCGUAGCUAACGCUUUAAGUACCCCGCCUGGGGAGUACGGCCGCAAGGCUAAAACUCAAAGGAAUUGACGGGGCCCCGCACAAGCGGCGGAGCAUGCGGAUUAAUUCGAUGCAACGCGUAGAACCUUACCUGGGUUUGACAUGGAUCGGGAGUGCUCAGAGAUGGGUGUGCCUCUUUUGGGGUCGGUUCACAGGUGGUGCAUGGCUGUCGUCAGCUCGUGUCGUGAGAUGUUGGGUUGAGUCCCGCAACGAGCGCAACCCUUGUUCACUGUUGCCAGCACGUUAUGGUGGGGACUCAGUGGAGACCGCCGGGGCCAACUCGGAGGAAGGUGGGGAUGACGUCAAGUCAUCAUGCCCCUUAUGUCCAGGGCUUCACGCAUGCUACAAUGGCUGGUACAGAGAGUGGCGAGCCUGUGAGGGUGAGCGAAUCUCGGAAAGCCGGUCUCAGUUCGGAUUGGGGUCUGCAACUCGACCUCAUGAAGUCGGAGUCGCUAGUAAUCGCAGAUCAGCAACGCUGCGGUGAAUAAAUUCCCGGGGCU
rnacentral:rRNA from 1 species